GAUGAACGCUGGCGGCGUGCCUAAUACAUGCAAGUCGAGCGAACAGAUGAGGAGCUUGCUCCUCUGACGUUAGCGGCGGACGGGUGAGUAACACGUGGAUAACCUACCUAUAAGACUGGGAUAACUUCGGGAAACCGGAGCUAAUACCGGAUAAUAUAUUGAACCGCAUGGUUCAAUAGUGAAAGACGGUUUUGCUGUCACUUAUAGAUGGAUCCGCGCCGCAUUAGCUAGUUGGUAAGGUAACGGCAUACCAAGGCAACGAUGCGUAGCCGACCUGAGAUGGUGAUCUGCCACACGGGAACUGGGACACGCUCCGGACUCCUGCGGGUGGGAACGGUAGGGAACCGGGCGCAGAGGGCUCAGACCUUACACAACACCGCCGCAUACGGGAGGAGGUUCCUCCGAUCGUAAAACACUGUCAGUAGUGAAGACCAAGUGUGUAAUUACCUAUGCCCAUCUUGACGGUCCCCUGGCAGAAGGCCACCCCUGACUUCUUC
rnacentral:rRNA from 1 species